rnacentral:rRNA from 1 species
AUUGAACGCUGGCGGCAGGCCUAACACAUGCAAGUCGAGCGGAUGAAGGGAGCUUGCUCCUGGAUUCAGCGGCGGACGGGUGAGUAAUGCCUAGGAAUCUGCCUGGUAGUGGGGGAUAACGUCCGGAAACGGGCGCUAAUACCGCAUACGUCCUGAGGGAGAAAGUGGGGGAUCUUCGGACCUCACGCUAUCAGAUGAGCCUAGGUCGGAUUAGCUAGUUGGUGGGGUAAAGGCCUACCAAGCCGACGAUCCGUAACUGGUCUGAGAGGAUGAUCAGUCACACUGGAACUGAGACACGGUCCAGACUCCUACGGGAGGCAGCAGUGGAGAAUAUUGGACAAUGGGCGAAAGCCUGAUCCAGCCAUGCCGCGUGUGUGAAGAAGGUCUUCGGAUUGUAAAGCACUUUAAGUUGGGAGGAAGGGCAGUAAGUUAAUACCUUGCUGUUUUGACGUUACCAACAGAAUAAGCACCGGCUAACUUCGUG